CAAUAGCGUAUAUUAAAGUUGUUGCAGUUAAAAAGCUCGUAGUUGGAUUUGUGGCGUACGGUGUGUUCCGGGCACUUGUUGUCUGAGUAACCUGCUGUUGCCAUCCUUGGGUGGAACCUGUGUGGCAUUAGGUUGUCGUGCAGGGGAUGCCCAUCAUUUACUGUGAAAAAAUUAGAGUGUUCAAAGCAGGCUUAUGCCGUUGAAUAUAUUAGCAUGGGAUAAUGAGAUAGGACUUUUUUGCUAUUUUGUUGGUUUGCGCAAAGAGGUAAUGAUUAAUAGGGACAGUUGGGGGUAUUCGUAUUCCAUUGUCAGAGGUGAAAUUCUUGGAUUUUUGGAAGACGAACUACUGCGAAAGCAUUUACCAAGGAUGUUUUCAUUAA
rnacentral:rRNA from 1 species